rnacentral:pre_miRNA from 9 species
AAUGGUUUAAGAGAGCUCUCUUCAGUCCACUCAUGGGCGGGCGAAGGUUUUGAAUUAUCUGCCGACUCAUUCAUUCAAACACACUAGAAAAGGGAGCAUUAAAGAUAGCUGCUAUUGUGAAUGUGUGAAUGAUGCGGGAGAUAAAUUUCAUACUUCUCUUCUCUGUGCUUGGACUGAAGGGAGCUCCCUUUAGCUGUAUC